rnacentral:rRNA from 1 species
UACGUAGGGUGCGAGCGUUGUCCGGAAUUACUGGGCGUAAAGAGCUCGUAGGUGGUUUGUCGCGUUGUCCGUGAAAACUCACAGCUCAACUGUGGGCGUGCGGGCGAUACGGGCAGACUGGAGUACUGCAGGGGGAGACUGAAUUCCUGGUGUAGCGGUGGAAUGCGCAGAUAUCAGGGAGGAACACCCGGUGGCGAAGGCGGGGUCUCUGGGGCCGAUACUGACGCUGGAGGAGCGAAAAGCGUGGGGGAGCGAACAGG